AGUGAACGCUGGCGGUAGGCCUAACACAUGCAAGUCGAACGGCAGCACAGUAAGAGCUUGCUCUUACGGGUGGCGAGUGGCGGACGGGUGAGGAAUACAUCGGAAUCUACUUUUUCGUGGGGGAUAACGUAGGGAAACUUACGCUAAUACCGCAUACGACCUACGGGUGAAAGCAGGGGAUCUUCGGACCUUGCGCGAUUGAAUGAGCCGAUGUCGGAUUAGCUAGUUGGCGGGGUAAAGGCCCACCAAGGCGACGAUCCGUAGCUGGUCUGAGAGGAUGAUCAGCCACCCUGGAACUGAGACACGGUCCAGACUCCUAGGGGAGGCAGCAGUGGGGAAUAUUGGACAAUGGGCGAAAGCCUGAUCCAGCCAUACCGCGUGGGUGAAGAAGGCCUUCGGGUUGUAAAGCCCUUUUGUUGGGAAAGAAAAGCAGCAGGUUAAUACCCCGCUGUUCUGACGGUACCCAAAGAAUAAGCACCGGCUAACUUCGUG
rnacentral:rRNA from 1 species